rnacentral:miRNA from 1 species
AUCUAUGGACUCAAUUCUUCUU